rnacentral:rRNA from 1 species
AGCAGUAGCCGCGGUAAUACAGAGGGUGCGAGCGUUAAUCGGAUUUACUGGGCGUAAAGCGUGCGUAGGCGGCUUUUUAAGUCGGAUGUGAAAUCCCUGAGCUUAACUUAGGAAUUGCAUUCGAUACUGGGAAGCUAGAGUAUGGGAGAGGAUGGUAGAAUUCCAGGUGUAGCGGUGAAAUGCGUAGAGAUCUGGAGGAAUACCGAUGGCGAAGGCAGCCAUCUGGCCUAAUACUGACGCUGAGGUACGAAAGCAUGGGGAGCAAACAGGAUUAGAGAUCCCUGUAGUCCCUGUCUCUUAUAC